rnacentral:ncRNA from 1 species
UUGAUAGAGGUGCGGCUUUUAUCAGUACUACGGUCAAUUUUAUGGCUCGGAACAGCCCGUAGGAAAGGAAACGCCGCCGAAGUUUAUAAAUCGGUUCCGCGGUUUAUAAAUUGGUGCAAUGCAAAAUAUGUCUUGUACUGUCACAUAUUGUGGAGCGCUAUCUU